rnacentral:rRNA from 1 species
UACGUAGGUGGCAAGCGUUGUCCGGAAUUAUUGGGCGUAAAGCGCGCGCAGGCGGCUAUGUAAGUCUGAUGUUAAGGCCCGAGGCUCAACCUCGGUUCGCAUUGGAAACUGCGUAGCUUGAGUGCAGAAGAGGAAAGCGGUAUUCCACGUGUAGCGGUGAAAUGCGUAGAGAUGUGGAGGAACACCAGUGGCGAAGGCGGCUUUCUGGUCUGUAACUGACGCUGAGGCGCGAAAGCGUGGGGAGCAAACAGG